UAUCGCUCCGACUUAUUAACGGUUUUAUUGGCAAAAUAUUUAGUGAUAGACAUUGAAUAGUGACGAAUCGUUGUUCUAGAGCUGUUAUUUAUCGAAUUGUGAUAAGUGCAAGUCCGUCAGCGAUGUCGAGUGAGUUAAAAUUCGAAGUGAGUGAUACCCGUGUCGUUGGUCGGUUACUCUACAAGCAAAAACGCCGUGGCCCUUGUACAAAAGAGUUUUCGUAAUAAUUAACAACCCAGUUCGAUUCGAUUCGAUUUUUCAGAGUUUUUGGGGUAAGUAGAAGCGUGGCAUUCAUUAUUUAGCUAAGUCAACGGAUUCAGGUUGACUGAUCAGUUGCUAGCGAUGAUGGGCGAAAGAACUGGAAAAAUCUUACAGCGCGCCCUGUAAACAAUUUUCGCAGUUCAGUUCACCUUGGGACUUUCUAGAGAUUCCGUACUUCUUUUGUCAACUCUGUUUGCAUACCGUUUGUCGCAGAGAUGAGUUUUAAAUAGAGGUUCGGGAGACCGAUAAUAUGUGUUCAGUAGACUAAAUUCAAACAGUGAAUUGCUAUAAAAAUAGUUCAACAAUUUCGUGGAUUUGGUGUUUAAAAAUCCUAGAAAAAAAUAACUAAGCAGAAAUCAAGCGGCUUUGACGCAGGCAGGUAGCGCAGCGCCACAGGCAUGUCUGCUGAAAGUCUGACGUUGGUAGAUGUCUGGUACGCGUGGAGCAAGAGAUAAGGAUGAUUAACGCCAAGCGAGAAUUGUUGUCGGUUAAUAUCGAGGGCGUUAAAAAAAGUGGGUUGGAAACAUCGACGAUCAUCCUUCAACAGUAAACAUCGAGGAAAAUAUAUUUCUCAAUAGCUUUUUUCACAAAUAUGGCGGAGACUCCGACCGAAGAACCUUAUCCACUUCACAAAUGCGUUUUCAACGGGGAUUUCAAGGAGCUAAGCUACUUGAUAAAAACCCACGAUAUAGCCGAAAAGGACAAGCAAGGAAAUACUCCGUUGCAUCUAGCUGUUAUGUUAGGAAGAAAAGAAUGUAUUCAUGUACUUCUUGGUCAUGGAGCACCGAUAAAAGUGAAGAACCUUGCUGGGUGGAGCCCGCUAGCCGAAGCUAUCAGUUUUGGGGACAGAGAAACUAUAUCAUUGCUCGUUACAAUACUGAAAUUCCAAGUAAGAGAACAAAUGGAAGCGAGGAGACCAAAACUUAUCGAGGCUUUGAGAGACAUGGGAAAUUUCUAUAUGGAACUUAAAUGGGAUUUUCAGAGCUGGCUUCCUCUUGUGUCGAGAAUACUUCCUUCCGACAUAUGUAAAAUUCAUAAAUGUGGGGCCUCAAUCAGAAUGGAUACAACAGUAGUGGAUUUUAACGAUACGAGGUGGGAGAGGGGUGAUAUAUCUUUCAUCUUCAAUGGCUAUAAAAAACCAAGCAAAUCUCUAACCGUUCUUGAUAACAAAGCAAAAGUAUAUCAGAGAGUGAGAUACGAGGAAACAGAAGAGGAGAUAGAGGACGAAGUAGACGUUCUAAUGUCUAGCGACAUUAUGGCUGUGCAAAUGUCUACCAAAGGAAUUUCAUUUUCUCGAGCCCAAACUGGCUGGAUAUUCCGAGAAGACAAAACGGAAAUGGUGGGACCUUUCCAUGCUGACUUUUAUCAAAUAAAUGGCAUGGUACUCGAGAGCAGAAAAAGGCGAGAACAUCUGAGCGAGGAAGAUCUUCAGAAAAAUAAAGCUAUAAUGGAAUCGCUCACCAAGGGUAGUUUCCAAGGCUUUGCCAAUGGGGGGCCACCAUUGAGGAGACCCUCGUUGAAUCCGCCUCCGGAGCCACACGUCACCUGGGAAGAGUAUUUGUCGGCAGAGCCUGGACAGUGUCCAACUUUAGGACGAACCCCUGCCUAUAAAGAAAGUACCAAAGCAUUCAAGGCUACGGUAGCAAUGAGCCCAGAUUUUCCGCUGACUGUUAAUAUGCUCCUUGAUGUACUGGAAGUCAUAGCAACUUUCAAGCACUUUAGCAAACUCAGGCGUUUUGUGCUGAUGAAACUGCCUCCUGGAUUUCCUGUGAAAAUUGAUAUCCCUAUUCUGCCAACGGUCACGGCGAAAAUCACGUUCCAGGAAUUUGUAUUUAGGAAUGAUAUUCAACCGGAACUGUUCCAAGUUCCAUCGGACUACGUCGAAGACCCCAUGAGGGGCUAUGGGGCGUAUUUGACGAUGAUGAUGGUUCUGCACACAGCAUCCUGUGUCUGAAGAUAAGAAUAUCAACAGAUUCUUAAAUUGACUAAGAUCUGAAUCAAAUUUAUUAACUUCAGUCUAUAGAAAAAAAUUAACAUUUUAUUUUUUUUUUUACAACUAAUUCCUCGAAAGCAGUGCCUUAUCAAAAGCAUCCGCAUAUCAGAAUGUGCCAAUCAAUAAUUCCAAGAAAUUAAAUUGUUUAUACUUUGCAUUCGGCGUCAUAUAUUAUUUGCUGCGAGGUCUGUAGUAGAUAUCGUAUAAUCUUUACUUCUAAUCUGCAUUUUUUCAGAAAGGUCUAAACAAAUCCACUUAUUUUGGCUACUCAAAUGUGUUUACCGAUGGAAACCAAUUGAGGAAUGUACGAUUUCUUUAACUUUUGGCACAAUUUGGGCUUUGUCUGACGGUAUUAUAGUUGUGAAAUCUCCUCUGAGAAAGGUUCCCAGAUUUAUGACGCCUUGAAUUAUCAACUUUGUUCAAGAGGUGUUACUGGGGCAGCUCACAAUUACGAUCCAAGUUUGGAAAUUCCUUUGGAGUAGGCUUGACGGCAGCUAUUUCACUCACAUUGUCAUAUUUAUCAAGUACCUAGCCCUCACUUGCACCAUUAAUGAAAACAGUGCGAGCCGAUAACACUAACUGCAAAAAAAGAAUUUGGAUACCGAACUGCCUGGUAAUAUUUGCAGAUUGAAUUCCGCGCUCUAUAAAGCAAAGGUUGACACUCUAAUAUUCGACACUCUCUAUACUUGAUGUAAUAAUAUUCUUGAAAUUAUUUAUUCACCCCAUGUCGUAGAGUGGCAAUUUCUACUCACCUUAGUUAUUAAGCUAUUUGAAUUAACCUCAAGUUCCACCAGGGUCCUCUCCAAGGGACCAGAGGUCUCUUAGGAGCUCCAAGAAAGAGAAAAAGAGAAAGAAAAAAACAAGGUAAAUAAUCGAUAACGUAACACAUUAACCGGCAAGCUGGAACAACUAGUUGCCAAUGAGAAGUAAUCGCAAUUUUAAGUACAUCAAAUUCAAGAGCGAUUACGACAAUUACUCGAUGAACUCUCUCUAUUUCUGUGUCCCUCCUCCCCUUUAUCGCUUUUAUUCUGAAUUCUUUCUAAUUUUUGUUGAAUCUGUUUAAAAAGAAAAAAAAAAAAAAAAAGUAUCGGCUCUCUUACAGGUUCCCUGUCCAAACGAAAAUGCUCUCCUAAACGAACUAAAUGACAAUAAUUUUUAUUUUCAAAUCCAAUUCCAAUUCGUUAUAACUGUUCGAGAUACACUCUCAGUUAAAACAGUGCGAUUGGAUCAUCGAGUCAUCUGAUAUAAAUCAGUAUUACAUUACUAUGCUAAUACAACAAUGAGACACGCCAGUUAUACUUCGUUAUACGGUUUAAAAUAAAUAAAAGUGCGGAUUAAGUAUUUAAAGAAAAUAUUCGAAUUGGUGAAGAACUUUUAUUUUAUUUUCAUCAAAUAAAUCGGAUUACCCACCAAGUUUUUGAAUAGAUAUAUAUUUUUUUGUUCGAACAAUCUAUUUCGAAUGUCGUGACAACUUCAAUUGAGCUAGUGCCUAGUUUUUUUUAUUAACAACAAAAGCGAAACCGUAUUUUUGGACUUCAAUGUGACGAAGAGUAUAAAUCUUUGAUGUACUCCAAAUGAUCAGCUUAAAAAAAGAAGAAGAAAAAGAAAUUAGAAUCAUUUUGUGAUGUAUUUAUGGAAUCAAUGAAAGUGUAGAUCUUCCUUAAAAUUCUUCGUGCAUAUUGUGCAGUUUCUUUUAUUCCUUCCAGCAACAUAAUCAGAGCUUAUGUCUAAUAUAUCCAAAAAUGUGGGAUCAUUUCCAUAGCCUAUACUGAUAUUUAUAAUCGUUAUAUCAAAGUCCUCGUUUUACUAGCUUUUACACCAUUAUAGCAUUUGCAAACUUACAGAAUUUUUUAAUCAGUCGCUUAUCACUUGUUAAAGCCAUAUAAAAAAUACACUCGUAUAUACAAACCGUACCAGCUUCCGACAAAAUAGUUACCAAUUUUUUUCACUGUCGACUCUACAACGUAGUAUUGCUAAUUUAUAGAUUUCUCAUGACAAUUUUUCCCCCCUAAUCGACAGUUCGACGAAGUGCCCCUUAUAAUAUCUGGCGAAUUUAAUUUCUCAAUGAAUUUCUAUGCACACAAACUUUGUGCCUUUGAUUUUGGAAACAAACAAACAAAUUAAAUAAUAGUAAUAAGCAUAUUCCGGAGGACGUACACUGAGUAAUUUUGGAAAAUAUUUUGCUCUACUUUCGAUUAAUUUUUUUCAUAAGAUUUCACAAAUUCGCCUUGAAAAAUAUUGAUAUAUACGUAAGCAAACCCCCUACCGCGUAAGUGAAAUAUAAUAAUCCAUAGAGAUUCACGAAAAAAAAAAAAAGGAAGAAUAUUUUUUCAUUAAGAGAUAUUUGAAUGACUCUGGAUAUUCCCACAGUCGUCCUUGCAAAUCUUGUUCUUUCUUACUAUUAAAUUUUUUUGAUCCGUUAUUUUUAAUUUAUCGAUAAAUCGAGCUGCUCAAAUAAUCAUAUGCGAUCAAUACGCAGCUAAUAAAAAUAAGUUAGUACAAUGAAACUUGUAUCCAUGUACCAUAGCUCAGACAAUUAACGUUAAAUAAUUAUUUCGUGAAGUCAUGGAACGUGUACGAAGAAGAAGUACGGUUUAGGUUCAUUUGUAUUCAAAGACUAAGAGAUGGGUCGUUGCCUUGGUGAUAAAUGCAGAUGCAUGAUUAUUACCUUACAAUCUCAAUUGGCGAGUGAUAAAUCACGACGGGUCGUUCAAUGAUACGUAGUAUUUAUGUACCUCAGUGUUUAUAGGAGAAACGAAGUUCAUUCGUUUUAUUUAUUGAGUUAUCUUUUCUUCUUUCCCUUUACUUACAAAGCGCAAGACUGCAUCGUCGAUAAAAAAAAGUAUACGUCGACUAUCAUGGAAGAUAUAUUUCAAAUUUCAAUCGGAGUCUCAUUUUAACGUUUCUGGUAUGAUUUUGACAGUACUUAGUUUUUCGACAAUACUUACUCUUACCUUGAAAAAAUAUAUUCGAUUAAUUCAUCUGGGAUAUACCUAAUUAAGAUUUUAUGAGGUGGAGAAAAUCGAUGUAUAAUUUUUUGGAAUUUCUCAGGCGGCGGAUGAAAAAAUAAUGAACAAGCAUAAAAAAAAAGAAAAAAAAAGACAAGACGACGUAAUUUGGAAAUUUAAGAAUUUAAAUGACUGAUGGAUAAAAGAAAAAAAAAAAUAAAUGAAUAAAAAAGAUCGCCCGAUCUUUACAAUACACCCCCUUACUACAAUACGAUAUAAAAAUUGAACACUAAUUUUGAAUAAAUACCUAUAUAUUUCCAUAUAAUAUGAAGUGAAUUUGAACAUUUGCGAUAUGGAAACUAAAUGAAAGAAACGAGGAGAAAAAUUGAAUAAAUAAAUUAAAAAAAAUUUCUAUUUAUCUACAAUUUCCCAACUCAUUUUAUACGCUAUAUACAUAUACUUGUAUAAGUAUUCAUUUAUUGAAUAAUUGUUCGUAAGGUAUAAUGUAAGGUGGAGUAAUUGUAUGUAUACAUAUUAAAUUUGGACACUUUACUUCGGAGGAUGAAUAGUCGUUUAUUAACAAUAAUAUUUAUGAAAGGACUCAUUCUAUCGAGAAAGAGAAAAAAAAUUUCAGUAUCCUAAUUUCUAAUCAAUCAUUACUUGACACACCUUUGAACAUCACUUUUCCUAAACCAAUCAACUACAAUUUUCAUCCAUGUUUUUCCUCGUUAUCUUUUUUAAAGUCGAGUUUCUUUUUUGUUUAAACUGUGAAAAAAAAAUUUCUCAGUUUUUCAAUAGGACUAUAACUUUCUACAUAAUCCUAAUAGUAAAAAAUAAUUAUUAUGACACGAUAAUGAUAAUAAUAAUAUUAAUAAUAAUAAAUGUCAGGGUAUACGUAGAAAAAAAAUAGUCGUAAUCAUAAAUAAUUGAUAAAUAAGUGUUAAAAUCAAUUCAAAAACAUUCACCAAUUACGCAUGUGAGCGUGAGUACGAAAAAAAUAAACAACAAAAUGCAGUAUGAAAAAAAGAAGUAUAUUUCAAAGAAUGAAUAUUGGAUAAAGACGACAUAUUUAUACGAAAAUCUAAAAAAUAAUUGUCGUGCAUCCAAAUUGUAGGAAAAAAUAUUAGCGAUAUCCAUAGAAAAAAAAUCUUUUAUCGUAAUAAAAGUAAAAUCGAAUGAUCGAAUAAUUAAUUAAUUACUUUGAGUAAUUAAUCAGUAUUUGACUGUGUGUAUGUAAUAGAUCCUUUCCGAUUAUCCUUCAGAUCAUGCCGAUUCGUGUGUGCGAAAAUUCUAAUUUCGAGUAGGAAAAUGACAGAGAAAAAAAAGAAAAAAUAGGUAAUCAGUGCAGAAUAUUUAAUGGAUGAAUGAAUAAAUGAAUAAGAUAUCACUCAACUAUGGAGUCAAUAACGUAUUGCUUAUAAAAUUUAUUACAAUCACUUAUGUUUAAUGUACACGUAUAUAUGGUAUCAAAAUUAAUGGCACAUAAUGUUGUAAAUUAUCUUGUGGUCUAAGGCACCGAAAUGUACUGAUUAUCUAAAUUAAUCGUAACAUAUGGAACGCUCGUUACCAUCUUUCUAUAUUAUUAACUUAUCCAGUAUGUGUAUACAUAUUGUAUAUAUCAUGGAACCGAUCGUAGAAUACUGCAUAUUACCAAAAAAUAUUAUUUCUGUUCUUUUCUUUUUUCUUCUUUCUUCGCUGAUUAGUGAUUAGAAAUAAUAUCUAGCGUUGUCAGCAUCGAUGAUAAUUAUUUUAUAGAACCGAAGCAGUUUAUCGAUAAAUAAAAU
rnacentral:misc_RNA from 1 species